GACGUAGGGCGCGAGCGUUGUCCGGAUUUAUUGGGCGUAAAGAGCUCGUAGGCGGCUUGUUGCGUCGACCGUGAAAACCCGGGGCUCAACUUCGGGCUUGCGGUCGAUACGGGCGGGCUAGAGUUCGGUAGGGGAGACUGGAAUUCCUGGUGUAGCAGUGAAAUGCGUAGAGAUCAUGAGGAAGACCAGUGGCGAAGGCGGGUCUCUGGACAGUUCCUGACACUGAGGCACGAAGGCCAGGGGAGCAAACGGG
rnacentral:rRNA from 1 species